GUCUGUUAAGGAAUAGACAUAUAUUAAUCAGAUUAAUCCAGAUGGAAGAUUUUAUUAACAUAAUGUCAAAAAAUACUUAUUACAUUAUUGCUAAAGAUGGAUAUACGUAUCAAAUGUGGCCGCUAAUCUAUGAUGCCAAAUUCUAACCAUAGGAGGAGACUACUCAAGCAAUGUCUUGGAUUUAUUUCCCGCAACUGUUGCCCACUUUUUAUGGCAAAGAAACUUUGUUCUCAUUAGCAUCGGCUGUGGGGAAGCCGGUGCAAUUGGACUUGGCAACAAUUAAUAAGACACACCCAAGUUGUGCGAGAGUCAAAGUUCAGGUAGACCUUAUUGCAAAUAUUCCGGAGUGGAUGGAGAUAGAAGUGAUUAGUCCAGGAAAGAAAAGUGCAAGGAUUGAGAAGAUCAAAAUCCAUUAUGACUUUUUACCUAAGUAUUGUCGCACCUGCAAGCUGCAAGGACACAAUGAAGAAGAAUGCAGAACAAUUCAUCCUGAAUUAAAAUAUGCUAGAGAAAAAAAGGUUCAAGAGGAAGGGGAGCUACCUCAACGUCAGGCUCAAGAUCAAUAUCAGAAGAUUAACUAGAGACAUAAAAAGUUCAUCAAAAAAUGGUGUCCAAUUAAAAAAGUUUUCAUCAUGGAUAGGACUAAAGAAGCAGAAUCCAAUGGUAAAAAUAUAGUGGCGACUGUCAAUGCUUUUGACUGUCUGGCUGAUGAGACACAACAAGUUCAAAUAGUUGUGGAAAAUUAUGAGCCAGUCUCAAUGCAAACAUCAGACAAGGUGGAGGUACAACAAAGCCAAAUCAAAAUACCAAUGAAAAAACAAAUUGAUACUAUGAAGUAUCCUCUACUGCUCAAGAGAUUCAGGAUAACAAAUCAAUUAGCAGCAAUAUAUACAGCACACAUGAGGAUAUUCAGGGUGAGCAAUCAAAGAUAGAAAAGGUGGACAAGACUACAAAUCUCAAGGAUGAGAAGUUAGCUCAAGAGACCAAACAACUAAUGAUUAAUCAAAGCAUCCAAAUCAGUAGUAAUAAAGAAGUAGAUAGUAAGGAUGGGGAACAAUUAAUAUGUGCCAGUGUCCAGCAGUCCACUGUGAUUGCUAAUGUUGAGUACCCUAUACCACUACAGAUGAUAUCUACAAGCCCUCAAGAGUCUUCAGAUUGUACAACAAUGGAGCACAAAGCGUAUCUCCCCAUUAUUCCUUAUCCAGAGAAAGAUUCUCCUAUGCAAGACCUACAUGAAAUUGUUUCACAUCAGUUGCAUAAAGUUAAUAUAAGUGAAAGUACAGAAAGUAGGGUUGAUGGGAUUGAGGAUAAAGAUGACCAUAAUAAUAAUAUCAAUUCUAGAAUGAUUGAAAGGGAAGCAGGAUUAUCUCCUCAUGCAAUCUCAAAAGGAUUGAAAGGUAAAAAUAAAGGGGAUAACAACAAAGUUGAGAACAAUAGUAUGAUAACAAGAACAUCACUGAAGAGGGGGGUUAAAAUUGGUGUUAAAUGAAGUACAAAGCUCUUGUGUAGAACAUUAGAUCUGUGAGAACUCAUAAGGCUUUUCACAGAGUCCAAAUGUUAAAUAGACACCAUAAGUUCUCCAUGAUUGCAUUACUAGAACCAUUCCAGGACACAAGGAAUAUUCAGAGUUUUAAGAGGAAGCUGGGGAUGAAGUAUGUUAAUUACAAUAUUAAUGGAAAGAUUUGGGUAUUUAUACAAGAUCAUAUACAUGUGGGGGUGAUUAUUGAUUCUGAACAACAAAUAGCAUUGCAGCUAACCCUAGAGGAUGGCAUACACAUGGUUACUACCUAGUUUAUGCCAAAUGUUCUACUCUUGAAAGACGCGUCUUGUGGGAUGAUCUUUAUUCAAUUCGGCAGAAUUUGACCCUCUCAUGAAUGGUAGGGGGUAACUUUAAUGUUAACAUGAGUGAUGAGGAGAAAAUUGGGGGUCUAUCUGUAUAUCCUCAAGAGUUUGAAGAUUUCUCUUUCUGCAUAAACUCAUGUUAUAUGUUUGGUGUCCAUGUUAGAGGAAGCCCAUUCACUUGGUGGAAUGGUAGGGCUUAUGAGGCUUGUAUUUUCAAAAGACUUGAUAGGGUGGUGAUUAAUCAGGCUUUGGUGGAUGUUGUUGGUGUUGUGGAGGUUCAACAUUUGGCAAGAACUGGCUCUGAUCAUGCACCUUUAUUUUUUACUUAUGGAGGGGAUCUUCAACAGUUCCAUAAACCUUUUAAGUUUCAGAGUUUUUGGACAAAUAGACAUGAUCUUAAAGAGGUUGUUAGGAAAAAUUGGGUGGCUGAGAGUUCAGGAAAUGUAUUUAUUAACCUCAAAUCUAAGCAAAGGAGAACUAGACAGGCUCUGACUAGAUGGAGUAAGGAAAAUUUUGGGGAUAUUUUGAAGCAACUUAUCAUCAGAGAGGAAAUUGUGAGAAUAAAGGAAGAAUUGUUCAAAGAGUUCCCUACUGCCUCCAAUAGGGUGGUUCUUCAAAGGGUCCAAGAUGACCACAAGAAGUACUUGCAAUAGAAGGAGGAGUUUUGGAAACAAAAGGCUAAUUUGCAAUGGUUUUCUGAAGGGGAUAGAAACACCAAAUUUUUUCACUGUUUGGUAAAAGGAAGAAGAAAGAGGUUGGGGCUAAAGAGCAUGAUACUGGAAGAUGGAAGGUGGACUGGGGGUGAUAAUCAAUUGGCUUCUGAAGCUAUAAAGUUUUACCAUGCUCAAUUUACUGCUAAUAAUAACAAUGAGGAAUAUUCAUUGCUUCAGAAUAUCCCUAAACUGGUCUCAGAUUCUGACAAUCAAGCACUGAAUAUAGUACCUACUGAGGAGGAGGUUAAAGGAGUUGUAUUUGCACUAAAUAGAGAUAGUUUUUGUGGGACUGAUGGCUUUUCAGGUCUGUUCUAUCAAUAUUGCUGGGAUAUUGUGGGUCUUGAUGUUAUGAAAAUAGUACAGGCGUUCUUUGAAGGUAAUACUCUACCUAAAUCUAUUACUCAUACUAAUUUGGUCUUGCUCCCUAAGAAAGAAAUCAUACAUACUUUCUUAGACUUAAGGCCAAUUAGUUUAAGUAAUUUCUUGAACAAUGUCAUCUCUAGAAUCAUACAUGACAGGAUAGAAGAUUUGCUUCCUAAGAUUGUCUCCCAGCAUCAAUCUGGAUUUGUGAAGGGAAGAAGUAUUUCUGAGAAUGUAUUGCUAGCUCAGGAGUUAAUUACUGAUAUAAGAAAGAAGGGAAAACCUGCAAAUGUUGUUAUUAAGUUUGAUAUGGCUAAAGCUUAUGAUAGAGUGAAUUGGAGAUUUUUUAUUCAAGUGCUAGGAAGAAUGGGGUUUAACAAUUUGAUGUAAGACAAGGUUUGGAGGUUAAUUGCAAACAACUGGUACUCCAUUAUUAUUAAGGGGCAAUCUCAUGGUUUCUUUCACUCUUCUAGAGGGGUGAAACGGGGUGAACCCCUAUCCCCUGCUCUUUUUAUUAUAUCUGCUGAGGUGUUGACAAGAACUUUGAACAAUCUAUUUGAGGAUAAAAACUUCAAAAGUUUUGGCAUGCCUAAAUGGAGUGACAACAUUAAUCAUCUUAAAUAGGCAGAUAAUAUAAUCAUUUUCUCAUAUGCUGAUCCCGUCUCUUUGAAAUUGAUUAUGCAGACUCUUGAAAAGUAUGAAAAUGAAUCUGGCCAGAUGAUUAAUAAGCAGAAGAGUCAAUUCUUUAUGUACAGAAAGGCUGCCAGAGGGAUCAUACAAGAGGUGGAGAAUAUUACAGGUUUUACUAUAAGAGAUUUCCCUAUUAUGUACUUGGGAUGUCCCAUUGGACAUGCAAGAAAGAGGAAGGUUCAUUUCUCUGAACUUAUUAAGAAGGUACAAAAUAAACUACAAUUGUGGAAGGGGAAACUAUUAUCCUUUGGGGGAAAGGUUGUUCUUAUCAAUAGUGUCCUACAAAGUGUUCCUAUAUAUCUUUUGUCCUCCCUGGUUCCUCCCAAGUGUGUGAUUCAUGAUCUGCAUAGAAUAUUUGCACAGUUUCUAUGGAACUUUAGGGAGGAGGAGAGAAAUAAGCACUGGGUAUCUUGGGAAGAUUGCUGCUUACCAAAUAUGAAGGUGGUUUGGGAUUCAGAUCUUUUUUUGAUGUGUCAAAGGCUUUGUUUCCUAAAUUAUGGUGGCAAUUUAGAACCAAAAAGACUUUGUGGACUAAUUUUCUAUGGAACAAGUAUUGUAAAAUACAUAGACCCCAAGUGGUACAUUGGCAAGGGGGUUCUCAAGUCUGGAAACUUAUGUUGGAUGCUAGAGAUGCUAUGGAUCAAGACAUAUGGUGGGAAACAAAAUGUGGUCAUUCAAGUAUUCGGUUUGAUAACUGGACUCAAUUAGGGUCUAUUUUCUAUUAUCUUCCUAUAUCAUACCAGCACUAUAAUACUUAUGAAGAUGUCAAGAAGUUGUUGAUACAACGUAAGUGGAACAAUAAACUAUUGAUGCAAAUAUUUAAUGAAUAAGUGGUCAAUCAAAUUCCCAGGGUCCUGGUAGCAGUAGGUAAAUCAGAAGAAUGGGAUAAGGCCUGGUGGAUGUUAACAAGCAAUGGCAAAUUUACUAUUAAAUCUGCCUGGGAGGCAUUAAGAAUGAGAAGUUCAGAUCAGGAGGAGAUGAAAUUCAUUUGGCAAAACGGAAUUCCAUUCAAAAUCUCAUUUUUCAUGUGGAGACUCUGAAAGAAGAGAAUUCCCAUUAGAGAAACUAUUGAACAUCUUUUUGUUCAAUGUCCAAAUGCUUUAAAACUAUGGCAUAUGUUUGUUGGGGCUGCUGUUUGAAAUGUUAUGGUGUUCAGCUGAAACAAAUGUGUGAUAUUUGGUGGAAGUUUGAGUGUGCUUCUAAACUUAAACCUUUGAUUGUUGUUGUGCCUAGUUUAACAAAAUAAGAAAUGGAGGCAGUAUAUCUUUUAUCUAUAUGGUGGGGGAAAUCAAUAGAAACUUGGUUAUGUUAGCCAAGUAUUUUUACCCUUGGUUAGCUGAUAUUCCUAUUAAUUGGCCUUUAAUGGUCAAGUUCUUUGAAGAUUACAGACCAGUGAUAUCUUGUGAAGUGGUUAGAUGGACAUGUCAUGUAAUGGGCUUCAAAUGUAAUACUGAUGGAGGAUUGGAUUCUUUGACAGGCAACUUUUCUAGUGCAUUAUGUAUUAGAGAUGUUGCAAGCAACUUUGUAUAUGCAGAAACAAGAAAUAUUGGGAAGGAAUCAGUGAUGAUGGCAGAAAUAAAAUCCCUAAUGUUUGGGCUAGAGUAUUGUUGCAGUCACAAUGUAAUACAUGUUGUUUUAGAAACAGUUUCUUUGAUAUGUAAAAGGGUACUUGAUGGAGUGUGGGAAACUCCAUGGAAUAUUGCAAUUGUUCCAAACUACUUAAAAAGGGUAUUAGCAGAAAAUGGGGCCUUAGUCGAACAUAUUUACAGAGAAGGCAAUCAAGUCGCAUAUUUUUUUACUAACAUAAUUUUUACUUUUGCAGGUCCAAUGGUGAAAAACAUCAAUUCUUUGAGAGAAAUACCAAGUAAAGGAAGGGCAUUGUUAGAACUCAAAAAAUUGGGCACACCAUAUAUGAGAAUAAAGAAGUGUCAAAAUAAUAUGGAAUCUACAGCAAGCAACAGAACACCAAGAACAAUAACCAAUGAUCCGAUUAAUUAGAUUGAAGGGCAAGGAGACAGAUAGUCUCCGAUAAAAGGAUUGUUACCUGAAGUCGGCAUCUCCAAUAUGACAUAAUUAGAUUUCAGAUCAGAUUUCUUUGGCAGUGGUAUUAGUUCCUCUGGAGCUCAACCUGUUAAGAAUGAAGAAAUGGAAACCUAACUAUGUCUUAGAGUUGAAGAUCAAUCCCUGAGAAUUUGAUGUUGCCCAUCGGUAAAAAAAGGAACCCCCAAUUUAGUGGUAGAAGAAGUCUUCAUUAAAUAUGAAUUCAUGGUAUUCGUGAUACUAGUGAACUCCUAAGGUGAAUAUCUGCUCGACCGCGAAAUUGUGCUUCCAAAAUCUCCAGUGCCAGCUUGAAGAUAUCUUCCAUGGUGACUUUUCAAGCUUCCAGAGCUAUUGUCUCUUUCCUUUUUUAGUUUUGUCUUCACUAUUUGUGUUUA
rnacentral:lncRNA from 1 species